rnacentral:rRNA from 1 species
GGCGGACGGGUGAGUAAUACUUAGGAAUCUGCCCAUUAGUGGGGGACAACUAGAAGAAAUUCUAGCUAAUACCGCAUACGCCCUACGGGGGAAAGUGGGGGAUCUUCGGACCUCGCGCUAAUGGAUGAGCCUAAGUCGGAUUAGCUUGUUGGUGAGGUAAAGGCUCACCAAGGCGACGAUCCGUAGCUGGUCUGAGAGGACGAUCAGCCACACUGGGACUGAGACACGGCCCAG